ACUCUUUCUAGCUGACUUGCGACGAAUGCAUCAUUUACAUAAUACUUUAAUUAACAUCAAAGAUCAAAAUAAGCACACUCAUAAGUCAGGUACAACAAGAUAUCUUCUAAGCCUCGGAAGGUUUACCGGCCUCACCUGUUCUGAAUGGGGCGUUGGCGCGACGUGAUGUGACCAUGAUGAGGUGCAGGAGUCAACGAUUUCUCCGUUACUUCGUUUUUGUGGGACUUUUUGUUAUCUUUGCGUUUCACUUCAAAUCCUCAAGCAAAGAGAACUUUGCAUCUGACGUUUCAGUGAGGGACGGCAGACGACUGUUUGGUGACGUCAGUGACGAGACUUCUGUUGACUUUCGGAAUCUCCUGCCAAUGGAUAAACGUCUGCUUUCGAAGGUCAAACAAAUGAUAGAGAAACCAGAGAAAGGUGACUACAACCUUACAAACCCAGAUAUAGAAGAUUUUUCGAGAGGUCAGAGCAGCAUAAUAGAUAUUCUUCUCAAGCAAAAGAAAAAUGGCUUCUUUAUCGAAAUUGGUGCGUCCGAUGGAGAGACCGGGUCGGUGUCCCUCUUCUUUGAGAGGAAUAGGGGCUGGGACGGGCUUCUGAUAGAGCCCCACCCUGGUCAUUACAGACAGUUACGUCACAGACACAGGAAAGCUUCGACUCUUAGAGCAUGCAUCAGGAGCAAUUCAAGUGCCAGUAAAGCCUUUGUCGACGAGAUAGAAGGUCACGUGAUCACCCCCUGCUUAUGGAUGGAGUCUAUAUUGGAAGCCAUGGGUAAAAAGACCGUCGAUCUGCUAAGUUUGGAUGCCAAGGAUCAGGAAAUGGACAUUCUGCAGGCCAUUCCUUUAUCGAACUAUUCGAUAAAUGUGAUCACCGUUGAAUUCGUCGAGGGAUCAGACAGUGAUAUGAACGUGAUGAAAUUUUUAAUGAACCAUGGCUACCACGCCAAUCAUCAAUUUGUGAACCACCCGUUACACAGAGAACCAUGGCUAGCUAAGAUGUAAAUAUGUCAUAUCUGAUAUGAACAUUUCAAUGCAUAUUGUAUUUCAUACAAUAUCUUCCCCGUUUGUACCAAUUUUGCUUCGAAAAAAAUCUAUUAUGUUAAAAGAUGUACACGUAUGUGUUGUAUGAAAAUAUAGUGUAUAAAUUGUAUUAAGAGUGAAGAAUACAAUGUACAUACAAUUAAUAUUUCAAUAGUAAAUCGUAGUCUUUUGAAUAUAAUUAUAUAAUAUACAUGUAGAGAUAAUAGUUUUCAUUUGAUUGAAAGUUGAAUUAAGGUUAAGAAUAAAGAAUCAUAAUUUUCUUAAAAUCUACUACGUUUUCCAACGACAAAUAUUGUAUAUUAAACGUCUUGGUUAGCAUUUGUCCAUAUUUAAAUCAUGACAUCGGUUCAACAUUGUUUAUAUUUUAUUGAUAUAUGAAAUAAAAGUCUUUCUUG
rnacentral:misc_RNA from 1 species